GGAAUAUUGCGCAAUGGGCGAAAGCCUGACGCAGCAACGCCGCGUGAGGGAUGAAGGCUUUCGGGUUGUAAACCUCUUUCAGCAGGGACGAUUGUGACGGUACCUGCAGAAGAAGCCCCGACCAACUACGUGCCAGCCGCCGCGUUAACACGUAGGGGGCGAGCGUUGUCCGGAUUUAUUGGGCGUAAAGAGCUCGUAGGUGGUUCGGUAAGUCGGGUGUGAAAACUCUGGGCUCAACUCAGAGACGCCACCUGAUACUGCCGUGACUGGCGUCUGGUAGGGGAGUGUGGAAGUCCCGGUGUAGCGGUGAAAUGCGCAGAUAUCGGGAGGAACACCAGUGGCGAAGGCGGCACUCUGGGCCAGUACUGACACUGAGGAGCGAAAGCGUGGGUAGCGAAC
rnacentral:rRNA from 1 species